AGGUGUGGGUCUACUUGGCGUUGGGUGCUCUGGCUCUGACAGCGAUCAUCGUGGUACCCGUCUGUGCUGUAACUUUUGGCCGUAAACCGCACCCGAAAAAGGUUACCUUCCCGAGUACCAGAAGUUCCCUGGUCAUGAAAUAUACAGGCCGGGACCGUAUGCUGUUCUCAACGACACGGACCUAGAACAGUGCGCUGCGAACUGUUCGACCAACGACGGCUUCGAGUGCCUGCACGUGCAGUUUUGUCCGCACGAAGGAACGCCACUGGGAACCUGUCAUUUGUUCCGCGCCAACACCAGGCUACGCUCCCACCUGUCCCACAGCUGCGAUAUCUACACUCGCGGAGACCCUGCAGAGAUUGGCAUUCCACACGGAGGCGCAUCAUCUCUCAAGACAGGAUUUGGAGGAAGACUGUUCUGGAUUCUCUCGUGCCUGGUUUUGGCCAACAUUUUCGUUGCCUGGCAAUGACAUGACCGCGCCUCGACAGUGGAGCCACCUGCAGGAAAAGUGUUGGCGGCGUCACUGUGAGGACCCGCUCACCCUCAAUCAGCUUCAGUCGGCACUCUGCGCACGUCAUGCUCGGAAGAAUACUCCGCGAUUUGUGCCAGAAGCUCACAAGUGACCUGGGACAGUGGUGCUAUACGUCAAUCUGUGCGCUAAGUGAGAACAGCAAAGAUCCGGGCUUUUUGUUGUCCUUGCACGUCCUCUCUAAAAUGGCAGAAACUGAAUAUACUCAAUGGGCCGGGAAUGUGGCAGUAUAGUACGGAACAGAAAAGACAGGAAAUGGAUAUAUGGACAUAUGCGUUCAAAAGUGACCAGACUUACAAGGGCUGAAAAUUGAAAGAAAGAAAAACUUCGGGGCAAGCGAAGGAGAAAGUGUACGAAAAAUGACUUGCCGAAAAUUUUGUUUGCAAGAUUUGCAAUUCUGUUGUAUGUGUCAGCUCACUUUUUACUCGUUGUACUGCACUACGCAUCAUAAAAUUUCUGCCAAAUCGUAGGUCACAUGUUCAAGAGGCAUUUUACCAGAUCUGCAACAGUACUGCGUGUUUUUGUGCCUGUACUGUGUGACGGGUUGUUGAUCCCGAGUGUACAU